UGGGUAAUCUUUUGAAACUUCAUCGUGAUGGGGAUAGAGCAUUGCAAUUAUUGCUCUUCAACGAGGAAUCCCUAGUAAGCAUGAGUCAUCAGCUCAUGUUGAUUACGUCCCUGCCCUUUGUACACACCGCCCGUCGCUACUACCGAUUGAAUGGCUUAGUGAGACCUUUGGAUUGGGGUUUAUGAGUCGGCAACGAAUUUUAUUCUCCGAGAAGUCGGUCAAACUUGGUCAUUUAGAGGAAGUAAAAGUCGUAACAAGGUUUCCGUAGGUGAACCUGCGGAAGGAUCAUU
rnacentral:rRNA from 1 species